rnacentral:lncRNA from 1 species
AUGAAGGGGACAAGGAGAAAACAGCCUUUAGGCUCGGAUGAGGAAGAUAAUUUAUCAAUUGAUUAUCAGCUACCAGAUUCUGACCAAGAGCUGGAUGAAGAUGACAAAGCAAUCUUAAAGAAGACAAGACAGCAGUUGCAUGGAGCAAAUGAUACUGAUUCUGACAGUGAGGAAGAAGUUUUGCCUUUACAGUCAUCUUCAGAAGACAGUGAUGAUUCCGAUGAUGAAGAAAAUUCUGAAGAUGAGGACAAAGAUGUCCUUGGGGAUGAUGAAGGGACUUGCCUGACCCAAAAGCAUGGGGACGGAAACGGAAAAAUUACUAUGACACCGAUUACAUAGAUCAAGAUUUUGGGGGUGAGUGCACCAUCUCAGUUUAAAAAAUUACCGAGUAAUUUUUUACUACGAACACUGGACUUAAAGUACUUUCAUAUGUUCAGAGGUUAUAUAUUUCUGUAGCCCCUAAUACUUUACUGUAUUUUUAUCUCAGCAG